rnacentral:rRNA from 1 species
UACGUAGGUCCCGAGCGUUGUCCGGAUUUAUUGGGCGUAAAGCGAGCGCAGGUGGUUUAUUAAGUCUGGUGUAAAAGGUAGUGGCUCAACCAUUGUAUGCAUUGGAAACUGGUAGACUUGAGUGCAGGAGAGGAGAGUGGAAUUCCAUGUGUAGCGGUGAAAUGCGUAGAUAUAUGGAGGAACACCGGUGGCGAAAGCGGCUCUCUGGCCUGUAACUGACACUGAGGCUCGAAAGCGUGGGGAGCAAACAGG